GACGUAGGGGGCCAGCGUUGCUCGGAAUUACUGGGCGUAAAGGGUUCGUAGGCGGUGUGGCAAGUCGGUAGUGAAAUCUCCAGGCUUAACUUGGAGGCUGCUGCCGAAACUGCCGUGCUAGAGUGCAGGAGAGGCGAGUGGAAUUACAGGUGUAGCGGUGAAAUGCGUAGAUAUCUGUAGGAACACCCGUGGCGAAGGCGGCUCGCUGGACUGCAACUGACGCUGAGGAACGAAAGCUAGGGGAGCAAACCGG
rnacentral:rRNA from 1 species